rnacentral:rRNA from 1 species
AUUGAACGCUGGCGGCGUGCUUAACACAUGCAAGUCGAACGGAUCAAAGUAGCUUGCUAUUUUGGUUAGUGGCGCACGGGUGAGUAAUGUAUAGCUAACCUGCCCUUUAGUGGGGGACAACAGUUGGAAACGACUGCUAAUACCCCAUACUCCUUCUUGCCAUAAGGUGAGUCGGGAAAGAUUUAUUGCUAAAGGAUGGGGCUUUAUUGUAUCAGCUAGUUGGUGAGGUAAUGGCUCACCAAGGCUAUGACGCAUACCUGGUCUGAGAGGAUGAUCAGGCGCACUGGAACUGAGACACGGUCCAGACUCCUACGGGAGGCAGCAGUGGGGAAUAUUGCACAAUGGAGGAAACUCUGAUGCAGCAACGCCGCGUGGAGGAUGACGCAUUUCGGUGUGUAAACUCCUUUUAUAAGGGAAGAUAAUGACGGUACCUUAUGAAUAAGCACCGGCUAACUCCGUGCCAGCAGCCGCAGUAA